rnacentral:lncRNA from 10 species
GGGUGCCUGUGCAGCAGUAUUCACUGUGAUAGGAAGUGAGAAGCAGUCUGAGUGUUCAUUGCUGAGGGAAUCAAGGGCAAAAUAUCAUGGAUGCACUCAUGGACAAAUAAGCAGCAGUUUGAAGCAACAACCUAGAUGGAUGUACAGCCAUCAAGAGGAUCUUAAAGUGUGGUCUUUAGUGGAAAAAAAGCAGAAGCAAUGUAUGGGAGACUGAGUAAUUACAUAUAAGCUCACAUCACUAUCUCUUCCACCACUGUCAUCCAUCAUGACUGAUCUGGGAGAUGAAACAGCACAGAUCUAAAGGACGUGGUAAGAAUCGAGAUCACCAGAGAUCAGUAGAUACUUGCAUACUUGCAGGAUUAACACUGUCUGGAUUCCAACGAUCAGCUGAGUAUGUUCAAGAUAAAGCUAUAGUACAUAUUU